UGGCGAACGGGUGAGUAACACGUGAGGAACCUGCCUCAAAGAGGGGGACAACAGUUGGAAACGACUGCUAAUACCGCAUAAGCCCACGGGUCGGCAUCGACCAGAGGGAAAAGGAGCAAUCCGCUUUGAGAUGGCCUCGCGUCCGAUUAGCUGGUUGGUGAGGUAACAGCCCACCAAGGCGACGAUCGGUAGCCGGACUGAGAGGUUGAACGGCCACAUUGGGACUGAGACACGGCCCAGACUCCUACGGGAGGCAGCAUG
rnacentral:rRNA from 1 species